CAUGCCUUUGUUCAAUUCUAGUGC
rnacentral:siRNA from 1 species